rnacentral:rRNA from 1 species
UAACACGUGAGUAACCUGCCCUUUACUUCGGGAUAAGCUUGGGAAACUGGGUCUAAUACCGGAUAUGACAACUUUUUGGAUAUUGUUGUGGAAAGCUUUUGCGGUAUGGGAUGAGCUCGCGGCCUAUCAGCUUGUUGGUGGGGUGAUGGCCUACCAAGCCGACGACGGGUAGCCGGCCUGAGAGGGUGACCGGCCACACUGGGACUGAGACACGGCCCAGACUCCUACGGGAGGCAGCAGUGGGGAAUAUUGCACAAUGGGCGAAAGCCUGAUGCAGCAACGCCGCGUGGGGGAUGACGGCCUUCGGGUUGUAAACCGCUUUCGCCUGUGACGAAGCGUGAGUGACGGUAAUGGGUAAAGAAGCACCGGCUAACUACGUGCCAGCAGCCGCGGUAAUACG